rnacentral:rRNA from 1 species
AGAGUUUGAUCAUGGCUCAGAUUGAACGCUGGCGGCAGGCCUAACACAUGCA